ncrna:unclassified sequences Rhodo-rpoB RNA
GGCUCGGGCGCGGACCGGUGGGACGGUCCGCAGGAAUGGAGCCUACUAUUUCCGUUUCGCUUGCGGCAGCGCGGCCGAGGCCCGAAGGCACGCGCG